CAAAUGUCAUCCUUUCUCGAGGAAAUUCCCACUCUGGUAUGAACGGUAGUUUGUGAAUUUGUUCGUGAAUAUCUUUGUUACUGUCCAACUUCUCAAUAUAGUCCGGUAAGGGAGGGAAGGAGAAAAGGUAAAAGCCGCCAUAAAGUUUCUUUCUUUUGUGCAGCACAUGACUUGAUGCGAUUAACAUGAUCAAGCACAUGAGUCCACUUCCAGCGGCGAC